CAGGGGGCGGGGCCGCGGCCUCGGUCCACUCCAGGAGCCGCACUGUGCUGGCGCUGGAGCUGGCCGCCGGGCCGGCGCUUAACUGCGGCAGAACCGUGGCAGUGACAGGUACGCUGUCGGCCACUCGCUCUGGGGCGCCCACAUGGAUCGGCUCCCGCGGAAAGCAGGACACAUCCAGGGCACUGCUGGACAGGCCAAGGGUGGCCGUGCUGGCUGCGAACAGAUACACGGACAGACAGGACACAGGGACCAGAACAGAGCACCUGGCAUGCAAGAGCCUGAUCCAGAUAUUGCACUGACAGUCAUGGAAUGAAUGAAUCAGCGAGCUGGGAGUAAAGAGUGGUCAAUAACAUAUGGAGAAGAAAUAAAUGGUACUGAAA